rnacentral:rRNA from 1 species
GACGAACGCUGGCGGCGUGCUUAACACAUGCAAGUCGAACGGUGAUCCCAGCUUGCUGGGGUGAUCAGUGGCGAACGGGUGAGUAACACGUGAGCAACCUGCCCCCGACUCUGGGAUAGCCUCGGGAAACCGGGAUUAAUACCGGAUAUGACACUGCCAGGCAUCUGGUGGUGUGGAAAGUUCUUCGGUCGGGGAUGGGCUCGCGGCCUAUCAGCUUGUUGGUGGGGAAUGACCUACCAAGGCGACGACGGGUAGCCGGCCUGAGAGGGCGACCGGCCACACUGGGACUGAGACACGGCCCAGACUCCUACGGGAGGCAGCAGUGGGGAAUAUUGCGCAAUGGGCGAAAGCCUGACGC